UACGGAGGGAGCUAGCGUUGUUCGGAAUUACUGGGCGUAAAGCGUACGUAGGCGGUUAUUCAAGUCAGAGGUGAAAGCCCGGGGCUCAACCCCGGAACGGCCUUUGAAACUAGAUAACUAGAAUCUUGGAGAGGUUAGUGGAAUUCCGAGUGUAGAGGUGAAAUUCGUAGAUAUUCGGAAGAACACCAGUGGCGAAGGCGACUAACUGGACAAGCAUUGACGCUGAGGUACGAAGGCCAGGGGAGCAAACGGG
rnacentral:rRNA from 1 species